rnacentral:rRNA from 1 species
AGUGAACGCUGGCGGUAGGCCUAACACAUGCCAGUCGAACGGCAGCACAGUAAGAGCUUGCUCUUACGGGUGGCGAGUGGCGGACGGGUGAGGAAUACAUCGGAAUCUACUUUUUCGUGGGGGAUAACGUAGGGAAACUUACGCUAAUACCGCAUACGACCUACGGGUGAAAGCAGGGGAUCUUCGGACCUUGCGCGAUUGAAUGAGCCGAUGUCGGAUUAGCUAGUUGGCGGGGUAAAGGCCCACCAAGGCGACGAUCCGUAGCUGGUCUGAGAGGAUGAUCAGCCACACUGGAACUGAGACACGGUCCAGACUCCUACGGGAGGCAGCAGUGGGGAAUAUUGGACAAUGGGCGCAAGCCUGAUCCAGCCACACCGCGUGGGUGAAGAAGGCCUUCGGGUUGUAAAGCCCUUUUGUUGGGAAAGAAAAGCAGCAGGUUAAUACCCCGCUGUUCUGACGGUACCCAAAGAAUAAGCACCGGCUAACUUCGUG